rnacentral:rRNA from 1 species
GAUGAACGCUGGCGGCGUGCCUAAUACAUGCAAGUCGAACGAACGGACGAGAAGCUUGCUUCUCUGAUGUUAGCCGCGGGCGUGAGAGUAACACGUGCAUCCCCUACCUGUAAGACUGGUAUCACUACGGGAAACCGGUACUAAUACCGGAUGAUCUUUUGAUCCGCAGUGUGCAAAGGUAAGAUGCGGCGGUUGGGGCACUUCUAGGUGUAUCCGCGCUGCUGGGGCUAGUUGUUGAGGUAACGGGCUACCAAGGCAGCUAGGCAUAACCGACCUGAGAGGGUGAUCGGCCACAUGGGAAGUGAGACAGGGUCCAGAGUCCUACGGUAGGCAGCAGUAGGGAAUCUUACGCAAGGGGGGAGAGCGUGACGGAGCAACGCGGCGGGAGUGAUGAAGGUCUUCGGAUCGGAAAACGCUGUUAUGAGGGAAGAACAGAUGUGGAAGUAACUGUGACGAUCUUGACGGUACCUAAUCAGAAAGCCACGGCUAACUACGUG